rnacentral:rRNA from 1 species
UGCGGGAGUGCCGAAAGGGAAUCGGAACACAGGUGCUGCAUGGCUGUCGUCAGCUCGUGUCGUGAGAUGUUCGGUUAAGUCCGCUAACGAGCGCAACCCUCGCUGUGUGUUAUAUGUGUCACACGGGACUGCCGGUCUUAAGCCGGAGGAAGGUGGGGAUGAUGUCAAGUCAGCAUGGCCUUUAUAUCCUGGGCUACACACACGCUACAAUGGCCAACACAAUAGGUUGCUAAGCCGCGAGGUGGCGCCAAUCCAUAAAGUUGGUCUCAGUUCAGAUUGUAGGCUGCAACCCGCCUGCAUGAAGAUGGAGUUGCUAGUAACCGCAGGUCAGCUAUACUGCGGUGAAUACGUUCCCGGGGCUU